UGGGGGAUAUUGCACAAUGGGCGAAAGCCUGAUGCAGCGACGCCGCGUGGGGGAUGAAGGCUUUCGGGUUGUAAACCUCUUACGCUAUCGAACAAGGCCCGCUUAGGGUGGGUUGAGGGUAGGUGGAGAAGAAGCGCCGGCUAACUACGUGCCAGCAGCCGCGGUAAUACGUAGGGCGCGAGCGUUGUCCGGAAUUAUUGGGCGUAAAGGGCUUGUAGGCGGCUUGUUGCGCCUGCUGUGAAAACGCGGGGCUUAACUUCGCGCGUGCAGUGGGUACGGGCAGGCUUGAGUGUGGUAGGGGUGACUGGAAUUCCAGGUGUAGCGGUGGAAUGCGCAGAUAUCUGGAGGAACACCGAUGGCGAAGGCAGGUCACUGGGCCAUUACUGACGCUGAGGAGCGAAAGCAUGGGUAGCGAACAGG
rnacentral:rRNA from 1 species